CAGGUGCAUUGCCUCCGUUUCAGUUCAGCUAUUUGAGAAAUAGGAAAUCAUUAUCUGAGUUUUGGCGGGAUUGUCCUAUUCUGGCUGAUAAUUCAAAGGAGCAUAAUUGCAUGCCUUAUGAACAUUAUACCGCAACAUUACUUGCACAAAAAGGCCUUGAAGGAGAACCCACAGAUAGGAGUUUAACUCACACUUCAUGGGUAUCUCAUCAAGCAAAGGUCGUGAAAGGCAAGGAUGGCAUCCUAUGACGGCCAAAUCUACAAAUUUGUUGUUGCUACUCCCAUUAUUCAUUCAGUGGUCUCAUUCACACUUGAUCACAAUAAGGUGGUUCAUGACGAGUGCCCACCUACCGAAUAAAAGAAGCAAGUUAGUACACAGAGUCUUCCCUCGCCCAAUUAACCUGCUUUGCUUCGCUCGCUUCCAUUUUGUUUCUAUACUUUAUUGGUCUUAUAAUACCUUUUGUUUAUAUUCAUGGUAGUUGUUGAUAUUUUUACUUAGCGUUAAAGUUUAUGUAUAAGAAAUCUAUGAUGUUAAUAAUGGCAGACUGGUUGUAAUCUA